GGUUGGAUCAUUCUUUAUAUUUGUGUGGGUUGGGACUUUUAAAGUUUCAGCUUUACCUUUUGUGAAUCUUUGAUUGUAUUGUGAGUGCGCUGACUGUAUGGUCCGCCACGAAACAUUCUAUUGAAUUCCCCUUUUCAUUGGACGUACACAACCUUGAGAAAAUAUUGAACAACUUUUGACAAUGGAUCUCUUGGUUCUCACAACGAUGAAGAACGCAGCGAAUUGCGAUAAGUAAUGUGAAUUGCAGAAGUAUUGUGAAUCAUCAAAUCUUUGAACGCACAUUGCACUUUCGGUAUCCCGGGAAGUAUUUCUGUUUGAGAAUCAUUUCAAUUUAUCCUUUCUGUUUGCUUGUGCUUUAUGAGUAUGAGUGAGGAGGAAGGGACGGAUGACGUUUUUCGAGCGUGCUUUCGAGUACACUUUCGAAUCGGUCUAAACCCAUGGGACGCAUGUUCAGCAAUGGACGACAUGUGCAUUAUUUUAUUCGAAUAUAACUCAUUCUAACUAGUAGUGUGCACAAGUCUUUGAGUAUGCAACCCACUUUGCCUGGUUCUCCCCGGCAAAAACCGUGACUUAAACAUCACACUCCAAAAUCGAUCUCAAAUCAGAAAAGGUCACCCGCUGAACUUAAGCAUAUCAAUAAGCGGAGGAAAAGAAACUAACAAGGAUUCCCCUAGUAACGGCGAGUGAAGCGGGAAGAGCUCAAAUUUGAAAAUCUCGCGCUUUCAGCGUGCGAAUUGUAGUUUCAAGAAAUGCCAUCGGGCACGUGCUAACAGUGAAAGUCUCCUGGAACGGAGCGCCAAAAGAGGGUGACAGCCCCGUUUAUCACGGUUGGGACGGGUCCAUGCGAGGUAUUUUCAAAGAGUCGGGUUGUUUGGGAUUGCAGCCCUAAAUGGGAGGUAAAUACCUUCUAAAGCUAAAUAUGGGUGAGAAACCGAUAGCGAACAAGUACCGUGAGGAAAGAUGAAAAGAACUUUGAAAAGAGAGUUAAACAGUACGUGAAAUUGUCAAAAGGGAAACGCUUGAAAUCAGCAGUGCUGCCGGGUGACGUUCCUUCCGUCUCUUGAUGGCGGGAUCGAUCUCACCCGGCGCAAGUCAAGGUCAGUUUUUUGCGAGCGAGAAACUGUAAGGUAGUUGCCUUUGGGCAGUGCUCUACAACCUAUCUCGGAAAAGACUGAGGACCGCAGCGCAUUCCUGGGGUUCUGUGGCGCCCUUUGAAGGAAAGGUUUAGACAGCAUGCUGACUACGCCCAACUGGAUAAGGCUCGUCACUACAACCACUCAUGUUGCUUAGGAUCUUGACGUAAUGGUUUUAAACGACCCGUCUUGAAACACGGACCAAGGAGUCUAACAUGGAUGCAAGUCGUUGGGUGUCGAAACCCAAGGGCGCAAUGAAAGUAAUGGAUGGGAAUCUCUCACGAGAUGCAACCAUCGACCGGCCUCUCUGCCCAUUUAUGGGCUAGGGUCUGAGUUGGAGCAUGCCUGUUGGGACCCGAAAGAUGGUGAACUAUGCCUGAGUAGGGUGAAGCCAGAGGAAACUCUGGUGGAGGCUCGUAGCGGUUCUGACGUGCAAAUCGAUCGUCGAACUUGGGUAUAGGGGCGAAAGACUAAUCGAACCAUCUAGUAGCUGGUUCCCUC
rnacentral:misc_RNA from 1 species